GUCUCUGAUAGCUUAACUGGUAGAGCCUUCGGCGCGUAACUAAAUUAUCUGAGUUUGAAUCCCGGUCUAGACU
rnacentral:tRNA from 1 species